UGGAAGGUAGCUCAACCGGCAGAGCACUGGUUUUUGGUAUCAGGGGCUGCAGGUUCGAACUCUGCCCUUCCAGCCA
rnacentral:tRNA from 1 species